AAUAAUGAAUUAUCGUGUCGGACGUCGGUCAGAAAUGAGUAAGACGCCUUACCGCCGGUUCCACCACAGAGCGAAGAGCUUAAGAAAAGUGAGGGUGUUCGCCAAGGUGACGCCAAGACUGUCAAUUAAGAGCGAGAGGUUGUUCAGAUCAAAAUGUGUGAAUAUAUUCGGAUGAACCGAGUCCGGCCACAUGCCAAUGGAACGAAGGCAGAUUUCGACUAGGAGACUGAUGUUACUUGUGCGCUUCAUCGCUUCUCGGUGACUGCCACGGCGACGUUACCGUAAAAAGCGCGAAGGCGCGCAGGACGCUCAAUAUAUUCCACGAAAUGACGGCGAGCUGUAUUUUUCGCAACGGAGACACGACAAAGUGGAGUUCACUGUCGCGGACAUCGAUCAAUCCUCGUCCGUAGAAAUUGCCGCGGGUGGAUCAUAUUUCUUCGAAUUUAAUACAUCGCAUGUAAUACAGACAUGUAAGAAGCAGACGUCUUCAUGACCUGGAAAACAUAAAUUCCCUCGCAGGAUCUGAAGAAUGAAAAGAGGCGAUGAUUUUCCGAUGUGUGAAAACAAGAUCCCUGAUAAUGGCCAACGACUCACGAGGAUUGUCGCUGACAGAUAUUUGCAUCAGAUCUCGUUUCAUAAUGUCAAUUUGGCUACCAACGUGAAGUACCUACCACGUAUUUUUUGAACGACCCACGUAACGAUGGUCCUUGUGGACGUCAUCAACUUACCAAGCAGGAGAGCAACGCAUUGAUCAUACCAACUAUGGAGGCAAUUGUCAAUAUGCAAAGAAAUUGUCCAAUCAAAAUGCAUUCGAACAGCGGCGAUUUGGUGAAAUCGAAGGAAAAAUCCAUUUUCACAGGCAGCUCCCGAACAUCAGUACUUGUUGCGUGGAAUAUGUAAGCACCGACUGACAAGGAGAAACCAGCCAUAGCGUGGAUACCGAUGAGCAGUCUUUAUUAAUCGCCGACAAGAUAUAAUGGAAUAUCCUGCACAAAGUAGUUUACAUGCGGAACUGUUGGAAGAAGCUGCGGAAUUGAUCGGUUUCAGCGAUGAAAUGAAACUCGAAAUAUCGGCACCACCUGGUUGUUUGGAGUUUCAGUAUGAUGAUAUUAAAGUGAACGUAAAGAGCAACGCAAAAAGUGAAUCAUAAAUCGCAAUAAAUAAUAAAUUUACAGAGUUAAUUACCCCGGCUAAUUCUGCGCUA